rnacentral:rRNA from 1 species
GUGGGGAAUAUUGGACAAUGGGCGAAAGCCUGAUCCAGCCAUGCCGCGUGUGUGAAGAAGGUCUUCGGAUUGUAAAGCACUUUAAGUUGGGAGGAAGGGCAGUAAGUUAAUACCUUGCUGUUUUGACGUUACCGACAGAAUAAGCACCGGCUAACUUCGUGCCAGCAGCCGCGGUAAUACGAAGGGUGCAAGCGUUAAUCGGAAUUACUGGGCGUAAAGCGCGCGUAGGUGGUUUUGUAAGUUGGAGGUGAAAUCCCCGGGCUCAACCUUGGAACUGCCUCCAAAACUGCAUGACUAGAGUACGGUAGAGGGUAGUGGAAUUUCCUGUGUAGCGGUGAAAUGCGUAGAUAUAGGAAGGAACACCAGUGGCGAAGGCGACUACCUGGACUGAUACUGACACUGAGGUGCGAAAGCGUGGGGAGCAAACAGGAUUAGAAACCCUAGUAGUCC